CAGAAGCGGAGAAUGGAAGUAAAGGGGAAGUGGUUGCCACUAGGUGCGCGUAUGUCAAAAGGGAGGCGCGAUACGACAGCCGCCGUCGCAGUGAACAAUAGUGGUAGUAGUGUAGCUCUUGCAACAUUCUGUGUACAAUUAUCUUAUUCUUUUUUUCCCAUUUUUUUCUGAAAGUUUUUUUAUUUUGUUUUUUUUUUUCAUUCACUUAUUACACGACUUUGUAUAUCACAGUUACAUCACAUUUCAUCAACGUCAAUAAUUAAUCAUCAAAGUAUAAAUGAGCGCGUUUUAGAGAUUACCAUAAUAAUUUCCUUGAUUUGCUUCCGCGGUAUUCGACCCCGUCGGUACGGACUCCGUUUCACCACUACCACCGCCACCAUCACCAUGUUACCAAAAUCGGGUCAUGAUGUGUGAUAGAUAGCAACUAUGGCGGUGGGCACGUGCUACUGAAGCCCACCCCACCACAACCUGGAGCCCCUAACCCAGGCGUCGCUGGUGCUCACCAUGGCGGUCGCCAUCAUCCUCCUUAAUAUCCUCAUCAUCGCUACAUUCACCAACAUACGAGGUGGAGGAGAGGUGAUGAAUGUAUACUUGGUGUCACUAGCUUUAGCCGACCUACUCUAUGGUGUGCUCGUUGUACCUUUUUCCGUGUAUCCAGCACUAGUCCAGAAUUGGGUGUAUGGUGAUAUCGCAUGUAGUCUUAUAGGGUAUAUUGAAGUAUCACUAUGGGCUGUAUCAGCAUAUACCCUUAUGUGGAUAAGCGUAGACAGAUACAUCGCGGUACGCAAGCCAGUCAGAUAUUUUACUGUACAAACACGAACUAGGUGUCAGUGUUGGAUGGCAUUCACAUGGAUAUCGUCGGCAAUGUUAUGUUGCCCUCCUCUAUUAGAUUUUGAUAAUAAGGCUCAUUAUGACCCUGAAACUGCAGUAUGUAUGCUUAACUGGCAAAUUAUGACAGCUUAUUCGGUAACGCUGUCCAUACUCAUAUUGGGUCCCAGUCUAAUCACAAUUUUGUAUACGUACAUAUAUAUCUACGGUGCCAUCAGAAGACUACGUCGAGGGUUUUUAGCGCAUGAUAAGGAAUAUGUCACUGCACUUUCGGAAAACUUAUCCAACCCUACACACGUCACUUCUUUUGUGUUAAUUGUAACGUUCUGGGUGUGUUGGACGCCUAUGAUGUCUAUUAAAGCGUAUCAGCAGCUGGGAAAUUCGCCCCCAGUACCCGCUCAAGUGUGUUUCUACGCCCUUUGGCUAGGUAUAUCCAAUUCGAUUUGGAAGGCAUUUGUGCUCAUCUUUCUUAGCCCGCAGUUUCGUGUCAUGCUCAGAUUACUAUGUUUGACGGUGUCUUGUCGGAGAAAAAAUCGCGCAGAACACGAGUUAUUGCAACACGCCAUGGAAGAUCACUUCCUAUAAGUUAAGUAUUAUUGAUAUUUUUCUUGUGAUUACAAUUAUAUUGUUAAACUUCAUUUUUAUUAUUAAUCGAAUGUUCUUCCCGAGAGCAAUCAUUCGUCCAUUUGUUAAAGUUUUAUUCAAACUAAACAAACUAGAAUAAAAAAUGAUUAAAACAAAAAUAAAAAAUAGCAACAAAGAUAAUAAACACUUAUGCAUAGAAAUUUACUGUCAAACGAACUAUUUCAAAAAAUGAUGGCUUAAUUAGUUCAUGAUCAUAUAUUAUAUUUUCUAUACUAAAAUAAAAAAAAUUCUAUUAAUAGAAAAUUAAUUUUUUGUUUUAAUGAAAUAAUGUGAAUAUGAAAUAAAUUGAUUUUUUUAAGCCAACAUUUCUAGAUUUGAACUUUUAAAAGCAUUAAGUAUUAAUUAAAUAAACUUCGAGUCACAUCAUUCAUUCACAGAGUUGGGCAUAAGAAAAAUAAGAACUAUGUUAUUAAGUCAUGGAUGAAUUUAAUAGGAAAAAAAUAUAUUUAAUAAAAACUGCAGGGCUUUCUUGUUGUUGUUACAUGAUUUAACUUAUGAUAUUCGUUAUUUUUUAAAAUCAUUAAAAAAUUAUCCCUGUAUGUUAAAACAAUAUACGCAGUUAAAUGAUAAAGAAAUAUAAAUUCAUAUCCAUCUCCUGAAAUAUAAAGACACUAAAAUUUUUCCUGGUUUUGUUGUGUUAGUUAAAAUUUAGACCAUGAAUAUAUGCCAAUCAAAUUAAUAAAUCGCACUACAUUUGUUUUGUUUAGUUUUUUGUAUAAUAGUUUAAGUAAUUUUUACACAAUAAUAGUUUUUGAAAUUGAAAAAGAUAUGCAUACUUAACAUAAUAUUUUUUUAAGUGUAAUUUAAUAAGAUUUUUUGUUUCUUUAGUACUAUUAAUUUAUUAUCAUUAACUAAGAAUAAUUUUAAUUUUUUACUAUAAUGGAUUGGGCCUACGUCAAAAUAAUGUAAUUAAUUGAUUUUAACAAUUGUUAGUUAUGCUUUUUAUUAUCGUAAGUGCUCUAAACUCUUAAAAUUUUUGGGAAUAAAAGGUAAAAAUAAGUUAACUAUAAAUAUAAAAUUUUUCCAGUGUUCAAAUAUCUUUGUUACAAAUAAAUAUGUUAUCGUCAAUUAGUAGUUGAAUAAAUAAAAAUAAAAUUGUUACCCUGUUUUGUUAAACGCGUUUGACUAAAUUAAUUAUAAAUACACUAAAUAUAUUCUAGUCUUGAAUAUACACAUUAUUUUUAACCUUAUUUAUUUAAAUCUUAUACUAGAUACGAAUAUACAAUCGAAAUGUCUAAUUAUGGGCACUAUCUCUAUAAAUUAUGUACAAAAAUAUAUAUUUACCUCAAAUACAUAAACAUUAAUACAGAAAUACUAGGUGGGUUGAGCAACACAUUAAGUUACUGUUAAAAGAGUCAGCAUUCUUUCAAUAAAAUCAACUAUUAUAAAUAAAUAAUAAAAAAUAUAUAUUUGAAGUAAAAUAGAAAUAUAAUUUUUGGACGAUACUUUACCACAAAAUUAAAAUUAUAUGGAGAUAGUGUCCUACAUAACUAUAGGCGCAAUUUGAGUGGUUUGGGAAGAUUUAACUCCUUUAAAAUUUCAGAAAAAUAAAAAAUAUGAUUAUACUAAAAACAAAUCAGAGGGAGGACAAAAUUAGGUAUAAUGAACCCUACAAUAAUUGUGUUGUAAUUGCGCCUUUGUAGAUAAUAAAAUAUGCAUUUUUUUUUUAAUUGCAUUAUCAUUGAAAUAAUAUACUUCAUUUUUAAACUAACCCUUUCUACUUUUAAUUCGAUGAUAUCAAUUUUAUGACUUCUAUUUUAAUAGUUUUUUAUAAAACAUUUUUAAGUUUUCCAUUUCAUAGGGGAAUAUUUUUAGCUAAAUAAUAUUUAAAUCAUUGUCAACAGGGUUAGUUCAUUUUACUAUUAUUUCAAACCAUAUAUUAAUUUACUGUUGUUAGGGCCAUAAAUUAUUAAUUGUAUGUAUCAUAUAUAUAAAUUGCAUAAAAACGUAGGGAGAAAUUGAAGCUUCAUUAUAAUAGAAAUAAAUGUUAAUUUAUACUUUGGAUAAUCAACGAAGCUCAAUAUAAAUUUUGUUUGUAGUUAGUCUUAGAGGAAAUAUUUAGUUUUACAAAAGUUACCAAAGAACCCUUUAAGUUAGGUUUUAGGUGCGCAGUUAUUGUGAUAGUAGCAUUAUUAUAUAAAACUAAUGUUGUUGUAUAGAAAUUGUUUUCUUAUUUAUUGGUCAUUUGUUGUUUAAAUUUAUCUCCAAUACCUAAAUGUUUAGAAUAUAUUAUAAGUUAUAUUUUAAUCCGUUUAAAGUUAGUGUAAAAUAACAGUAGCUCUGUUUAUAUUUAAACAAUCAUUUUAUAAAACCAUGAAAAUUUCCACGUAAAUUUACAUUACCUAAAAUAAUAUAUCCAUUAUAUGUUUUACAAAAUAAUUUUAAUUUAUAAUUCUAUCACACAUUUGCUAUAAAAUCAAAUCUUUUAUCUUGUUCAAUGAAUUUUUUUUAUUAAAUUUUGGUAUUAUUCCAGGUGUGCGUUAAUUUGAAUAAAAUUAUUUGACUAAUAUAUAAUAAAAAAAUUUUAAUUUUGAAUAGUAUUUAUAUUAUAUAAUCUUGAAAUAUUAAAUGAAUUUUAUUUAAAAUAUUCUAGCAAUCUAAAAUUGAUGACAUUUUAAAGUACAAAACUUAAUUUAUCAUUCAUUGAACUUAUUUACAAUAAUUUCAAAUGGUUCAUUAAUUACUUUGUAAAUGCUAAGAUAUCCUCAAGAAGGUUUAAAAGAGAUGGAAAUUAAUAUUAAAUUAUGAAUUUUAAAUAUGUAAAAAUGAAAGUAUAAACGUUUUUGAAGUAAUAUACUAUUUAAUACAAUUAAAAUAAACUACAGAAGUUUUUUUUCUUACCACAUUAAACACUACAAAAAAAAAUAAAUAAAUAAACAAUAGACAUUUAAAUAUUAAGAAUAAACUUGAACAAUGAAUGAGUUUUAAUAAAAUCAUUAUCGUAGAUAAAUUGCCCAUUUUUUUCAUCACUAUAAUUCAUAUUUGAAAAAAAAAUUUUAUAUCUGUUCGAACGUGUAAGUCACUUUGUUAAAAUUUAUAUUAAUAUUAACCAUAAAAUAUUACAAUAAACAUUAUUAUACAGAGUGUCCAGUAAGUAAAAAAAUAUGAAAAUUGUUAUAAACAAUGAGAAAAAUAGAAACCUGUUUCUUACUUACUGAACAUUCUAUUUAAUGAACUAUUUUUAUAGUUCCAAAGAUAUUUCUUUUGUCUAGUUUUUUUUUCUUAAGAAAAUUUGUUAAAUGUUAUUCUAUAAAACAAAAUAUUUAACAAUUUUAAAAAGGACUUAAUAUUUAUUGAUCAAUGAUGAUUAAAUUACAAAAAAAAUAAUUUUUUAUAAAAAAAAAUUCGUAUAAUUGAUCUUUAUUUUAUGACUCAAAUUUA